rnacentral:rRNA from 1 species
GAUGAACGCUGGCGGCGUGCCUAAUACAUGCAAGUCGAGCGAACAGAUGAGGAGCUUGCUCCUCUGACGUUAGCGGCGGACGGGUGAGUAACACGUGGAUAACCUACCUAUAAGACUGGGAUAACUUCGGGAAACCGGAGCUAAUACCGGAUAAUAUAUUGAACCGCAUGGUUCAAUAGUGAAAGACGGUUUUGCUGUCACUUAUAGAUGGAUCCGCGCCGCAUUAGCUAGUUGGUAAGGUAACGGCUUACCAAGGCAACGAUGCGUAGCCGACCUGAGAGGGUGAUCGGCAACACUGGAACUGAGACACGGUCCAGACUCCUACGGGAGGCAGCAGUAGGGAAUCUUCCGCAAUGGGCGAAAGCAUGACGGAGCAACGCCGCGUGAGUGAUGAAGGUCUUCGGAUCGUAAAACUCUGUUAUUAGGGAAGAACAAAUGUGUAAGUAACUAUGCACGUCUUGACGGUACCUAAUCAGAAAGCCACGGCUAACUACGUG